UGAAAUCGAAUUGGAAAGAAUUGUUUUGCAUAAAAAUUGCGAGCGUCGUUGGUUGGUUGGUUAGUCGGGAAUUUAUCAAGUGGUUUUGUGAAGUUAAUUGAAAUUUGGUGGAAAACAAAUAAAAUUAACAAUAAAACAUUAAAGUUGAAUUUUGUGUGCAGUUGGGCAAAGGAAAAUCAUAUGUGUAACAGUGAGCACAGUACGUAGCAUGAGCGCUAGGGCUGCAGGUUGCACAUCGUCUAGGUUUUGUUGAAGGCACUACGGCAGAAGCAGAAUGGCAUAGUUUGUGGUUUCCAGCAGAAUUAAACAAUUCAAUAAACAAUAAGGAGCGUUUAUGCUUCGUAAUUUGUUUUUCAGCGUUCAAUAAUUAUGUUUGUGCAAUAUUUAUAGCAGUUGCGUUACAAUACUUCUUCUUUUCCAGGAAGACGCGUCCUGGGUAUGAUAGAGGAUGGCAGUGAGGACCUCAGACUGGAGGUAUGCCCGGACAACGUACGUUCCGCUGAGGUCCUCAUCCCUCUUAUUCGCAAAAAUGUACGAGAAGGAACAACUAUAAAAACAGAUUUUUGGCGCGCAUACGAAUGCCUCCCUGAAUAUGGUUACAUCCAUAAAAAGGUUAACCAUAGUGACCCUGGCAAUCCCUUUAUCGCCGAGGAUGGCACAAACACACAAAGAAUUGAGUCUCAUUGGCGUGUGGUAAAGAGAUUUUUUUACAAAGCCAACUAUAAUAAUCCGGCAAACUUUGCUGAUGUUAUAGUAGAGUUUUUAUGGAGGCGGGAAAUGCAAAAAAAAAAAAUACAGAUCCAUUUAAUGCUUUACUGGGUGUUAUUAAAUACGUGUAUAACACGAAAUAAAAAAACUAAAACAUACAAAUGAAAACACAAUUUUAUUAUUUAGAGGGUCUUGUUUAAAUGGUUGGUUGGGUUAUCU